CCUACGGGAGGCAGCAGUGGGGAAUAUUGCACAAUGGGCGAAAGCCUGAUGCAGCAACGCCGCGUGAAGGAAGACGGUUUUCGGAUUGUAAACUUCUGUUCUUAGUGAAGAAUAAUGACGGUAACUAAGGAGCAAGCCACGGCUAACUACGUGCCAGCAGCCGCGGUAAUACGUAGGUGGCAAGCGUUGUCCGGAAUUAUUGGGUGUAAAGGGCGUGUAGGCGGGAGCGCAAGUCAGAUGUGAAAACUCAGGGCUCAACCCUGAGCCUGCAUUUGAAACUGUGUUUCUUGAGUGCUGGAGAGGCAAUCGGAAUUCCGUGUGUAGCGGUGAAAUGCGUAGAUAUACGGAGGAACACCAGUGGCGAAGGCGGAUUGCUGGACAGUAACUGACGCUGAGGCGCGAAAGUGUGGGGAGCAAACAGGAUUAGAUACCCCAGUAGUC
rnacentral:rRNA from 1 species